AUUGAACGCUGGCGGCAUGCUUUACACAUGCAAGUCGAACGGUAACAGGCCGCAAGGUGCUGACGAGUGGCGAACGGGUGAGUAAUGCAUCGGAACGUGCCCAGUCGUGGGGGAUAACGCAGCGAAAGCUGCGCUAAUACCGCAUACGAUCUAUGGAUGAAAGCGGGGGACCGAAAGGCCUCGCGCGAUUGGAGCGGCCGAUGUCAGAUUAGGUAGUUGGUGGGGUAAAGGCUCACCAAGCCAACGAUCUGUAGCUGGUCUGAGAGGACGACCAGCCACACUGGGACUGAGACACGGCCCAGACUCCUACGGGAGGCAGCAGUGGGGAAUUUUGGACAAUGGGCGCAAGUCUGAUCCAGCCAUGCCGCGUGCGGGAAGAAGGCCUUCGGGUUGUAAACCGCUGUCAGUGGGGAGGAAAGCUUUGCGAAGAGCAGGGCUUGACCUAUCCGCAGAGGAAGUGUGGGCUAAGUUCGUGCCAGCAGCCGCGGUAACAC
rnacentral:rRNA from 1 species